UACGAGAACCCCAAGCGUUAUCCGGAAUCAUUGGGCGUAAAGGGUGUGUAGGUGGCGAUGUUAGUCUUCUGUCAAAAUCUUGGGCUUAACCCAAGACUUGCAGUGGAAACGGCAUUGCUCGAGGAUGCGAGAGGUGAAUGGAACUCAUGGAGUAGGGGUAAUAUCCGUUGAUAUCAUGGGGAACACCAAAUGCGAAGGCAAUUCACUGGCGCAUUCCUGACACUGAAACACGAAAGCGUGGGUAGCGAAUGGG
rnacentral:rRNA from 1 species